rfam:Thiocystis violascens DSM 198, complete genome.
GGCGUAUGUUGCCCAGGCGGAACUCGACCGCCCGUUCGAGCGAUGAAGGCGUUGAUCGACCGGCACCAUGAUGCCGAUGGAGUCGAGCCGAUCGGCAAGGUGUUGCGAAUCGCGCCA